UGCGAUAUGCCAGGUCCCCUGUUGGGGGCAGUGAAGCGCCUCUGUCCUCCUGAUGCUUACAGUCGGAAUGAUUUCGUGAAAAAUGAAUAACUGUAUGGUGCGUACUCUGUAAGACAAGCAAAGAGAGGGCAGAGAGCCCACAACCAGAGGCUCCAACUGGUCUGCGUGGUAGGACUGGCCUCCCUGAUAAAGGGGCCCAGGAUGAGAAGAAAGAGGCACCAUUCAAAUGUGUGAUGGCCUCUGUUUUGACCCACAGGAGACUCACGUGAAUAGAGAAAAGCGGAAUCAGACGCCAACACGCAUAGACAACAGGCUAGGCACCAGUCCACGGCUCUCGAGCCCUUUCUCGAUCUUCGAGACAACAGUCUGGCAGCUGGCCUUGGCCCAGCUUCUCAGAGGAGGACACGGAGCUCAGGGAGGUCCAAUAGUUUGCCCAAAGUCACCCAGCUGGUAGAUUCAAGAGCCGGGACUUGCAAUCAGGUUAUGCCUGCCUCCAAAGCCUGGCUUCAUUCUCCUUCUGCCAAGGCAUUUCCUAGACUCCCAGGACCUCCGUGUAGGGAAUGAGCUGGGAGGCCACUGAGGUGAACCCUCGAAAUAAUGUAGGCAUUCUUCCGGUGUUCUCCAGAAGCUGCAAGCCAAACAAGUUAUAAAUGUGCCUGGUGAGGCCUAGAAGAAAUCAGAGCGACGCUUCAGAAUGUAGACAGAGAGCAACCUAUAAAUGGGGGUUUGGGCAGGAUGGCUGUCACAUCCUGGA